GAGAAAAGCGGGAAUCUAGGGUUAAUUAUCAAACUUACGUAAAACAGAUGUACGAGACUUCUCUUCCUCUUCGACUGCUGCAUCUUCUCUUCCCCUUUGACUGCUGCUACCUGCUACUUGACUGCUGCUCUUCUUCACAUGGAGGAGCUGUGCUGAAGGACAGCAAUCCUCCGAGUCACCUGGGACAAUUGGACGCUCAAAAGGUGCUGCAAUGGCAUCCUCUCACCAGCAAAUUUCUGUUACUAUAGCGACAGAGUUUGUUCGUUGGAAUGAAGAAGCAGUAUCCAGAUGCACUCUGUUUUCAUCACAGACCUACAGAAUUGUACCAAAUGCUUGUUUAAUUUGUUUGUACCGCCUGCUGCAAUUGCUGCUAACGUAAGGGCUGUUUUUACAUGCCUUCUGAACCAAGUGAGUAUGUACAUUACUGAAGGUCUUGAAAGAGCCAGAGACAGUCUCACUGAGGCUGCUGCUUUAAGGGAAAGAUUUGUAGUUCCUAGUGUAAGUCGAAGGGUUGCUGCUGCAGCUGCUUCCGCAGCAGAAGCAGCAGCUGCUGCUGGUGAAAGCAGUUUCAGAUCUUUCAUGGUUUCUGUGCAAUGUUGUGGGAGCAGUGUGGCUAUUGUGCAGCAAUAUUUUGCAAACUCUAUAUUUCGGCUUUUACUAUCUGUGGAUGGUGCGCAUGCUGCAUCUUGUGAAGAAAUGGCUAUAGCUAUGUCAAGUGCAGAGGGUGCUGCUUAUAAGGGGCUUCAGCAGUGCAUUGAAACUGUUAUGGCAGAGAGUUGUCGCAUACCUUUUAAGGGUGCUUGAAUCGGCAUUCACAGCGCUGGAAGGGCUUAACAAACAAGCCUUUCUGACUGAAUUGGGGACUUGUUUACACAAAGUCUUGAUUAAUCAUUGGCAAAAGUUCACCUUCAAUGCAAGUUACUUCCUUUCGGUAAUGCUGUUAUUGCUGCUUGUUUUAAGUUGUAAGAAAUUGGAGUUACAAAAGUUACAUCGUGACUUAUAGGAUCCAUAGUAGGAAUAGUUUCCUGCCUAUAGUAAGCUAAUGCUUAUACCUAGCAUCAGUGAGUAUAGAAAGCUAUCUUCCAGCUAACAUUUCUAUUGCAUAAAGCCGAAAGAGAAAUUACUGAUGUUUGUGUCAUUUCAGCAUUAUAGAAAAUAAAGUAAUAUUUGGUAGAUUGUAAUAAUUGUAAUAUUUUGCUAAUAAUGUGAAUUGGAGUUUCCUAGAUGUCAUUAUGCUACAAAUGGGAUUUGGGGAAAAAUGGAUUAAAUUUUUCAUCUCAUCAGUGCGAUAUUCCGUUUUGGUGAAUGGAAAUCCUUCAGUUUUUUUUGGGAGUUCGAGGGGUUUGAGACUAGGGGAUCCUCUAUCUCCCAUAUUAUUCAUUUUAGUAAUGGAAGCAUUGAGCAGGAUGAUGGAUAAAGCUGGCAUGAGAGGAUUCAGAAAAAGUUUUAAUGCUGCAGUUGGGGGUGCUGGAACACUUUCGGUUUCUCAUUUAUUGUUUGCAGAUGGUACUUUGGUCGAGGUCUUUAGAAAUCAAGGACAAAUCAGAUCAAGCAGCAGCUAUAUCCUAAAAAAUUGGAGUACUACCUGAAAAAUACCAUGAAUUAGACCCUACUUUGUUUUUGUGAUGCAUAUAGUUACCAAUUGGAUUAUUUAGGCCAAGUCAUUUGGUUUCAGGUUGUGUCUGGCCUUAAAAUUAACUUGUGCGAGAUCAUUCUAGUAGGAGAGGUAGGCGACAUUGACUCUCUGGCUCAAGUUUUGAAUUGCGGUUUGGGGCCCUUCCUUCUACAUAUCUUGGGUCAACGUUAGGUGCUUCAAACAAGAAUGUUACAAUGUGGAAUUCGGUUGUCCAAAGGGUUGAGAAAAGAUUAGCAGGGUGACGAAAGAGAUAUUUGUCUGAAGGUGGAAAAGAGGUACUCAUUAAGAGUACUCGAACAUUUCUACUUAUUAUAUGUCUUUGUUUCAUGCUCCAAUCUCAGGAAAGUUUGAAAAGAUCCAAAGAUUUUCUUUGGGACGCGGUGGAUGGGACAGAAGUUUCAUUUGGUGAAAUGGGAGACUGUCACUUCUCCCCAAAUAUGGGGAGGGCUAGGCAUUAAAGGUUUAAAGGUGUUUAACAAAGCUUUGUUGGGUAAGUGGCUUUAGAGGUUUGGGGAUGGAGGUGAAUGCUUCCUGGAGAGAGGUGAUAGUUGAUAAAUAUGGGGCUAUGGAAGGGGAAUGGAGUACCAGAGGCUUGACUCUACCUUUUAGGUGUGGUUUGUGGAGGACUAUCUUGAAGGGAUGGGAUGAUUUCAAAAUAAAUAUCUUAUUCAAGGUAGGAGGUAGGAAGAGAGUAAAAUUUUGGGGACAUAGUUGGUAUGGAGACAAUUUAUUGAAAGAUGACUUCCCGAGCUUUCACAGAAUUUCUUUCCAAAGAGACUUGACAAUACAACAAAUUAGGGGGACACAAGGUGGAGAGACCUUUUGGGACUUGAGAUUUAGGAGGGACCUCCAUGAUUGGGAGGUGAACGAGUUCCAAUAUUGUUGGAUUUGCUCCAUAAACAAGUCAUGACAGUAGAUAAUCUGAUGCUUUGUGGUGGGGGGAGGUAGGGAAUAGUGCUAUGUUCUUAAUCAAGUCUUAUUAUGGAUAACUUCUGGUUAGAGAGGUGGAUGUUUUUCCUUGUAACACCGUUUGGAUUCCUAAGGCACCAAGGAAGGUGUGUUUUUCAACUGGCUAGCCACUCAUGGGAUCUUGACGGCGGAAAAUCAUAGGAAGCGAAAGGUGGGUUGUAUCAGUUGGUGUUAUAUGUGCAAGAAAACUGGUGAGGACGUGGAUCAUCUUCUUCUUCAUUGUGAUUUUACCACGAGGUUAUGGUGGGAUAUGUUUAGGUGGUUUGAUACUUCAUGGGCAAUGCCAAGAACCGUGAAAGAAUUGAUGAUUAGUUGGAAGAGCAGGAGAAGGAGGAGAAGAUGCAAGGAGUGGAACAUGGUUCCACUCCAUUGAUGUGGGUGGUGCGGAGAUAAAGAAAUAAGAGAUCUUUUGAGUGGGUAGAAUCGAGCUUUUCCCAUUUGAGGAGUAACCUCCGGUCCCUUAUUUUCUUUUGGUGCACCCAUAGAGUUCCAAUUUGUAUAGGAGAUUGGAUGGAGUUUGUAGAGAAUCAUUUAUUAUUGUAGAUUUUUACUUUUUUUGUAUUCCCUUUGGAUACGGCCAACUGCGUGGCCAUGUUUAUGAAUGAAAGUAAUUUUACCUAAUUAAAAAAAAAGAUUUAACAGAAAGACACGAGAUUACCUUCAUCUCGUUCUGUUUUUAGUGACUCAUCAACUUGUGUACUUAUGCUUCAAGGAUCAUUCUUUGGUUGAGAAAGCAGACCGUUUUGAAAAGCACCGUCAUUACUCAACAAAAACAAAAAACAAACUACUCUGUCUCAAAUAACAAGAAAUUUGGUGUCGAUUGGAUAAAGCCUUAGUGAUCAUGUUGUUCUUGUUAAGCUCAUAUUUAGGGGUGGCUCAUGUAGCCCAAAUAUUAUUGGCCCUCCAAGAAUCUUAUGGGUUGGGACGUGUGUCUACUUGUUUAACUUUAUACAAGUUUAAGUGUCUACUUGUACCCAAAGUUGAAAGGCAUAGAUGCCAGCUGAGGCCAAGUUAAAAGGCACGUUCAUUUAUGUAUAUACCUAAAAUCAAAGUAAGAAACUAUCUACAGUUCAUGCCAUGCACAUGACAUGGAUAAAUAAAAGGCCCGUAGAUUGCAAGUCAGUCUUCUUAUAUUCCAAAUCUUUUAUUUUGCAUCUAUGAGUGUGGAGCAGAUGCGUAUAUGUGGUCUCUUCUUUGGUACAUGACUAUCUUCUUAAAUCUGUGGAGUUCCUAUGCAGACAAUGGUCCAACUGUAUCAGUUACAUAUUCUAGUAAAACAGUUUCCAACAAAAUCUUCUACAAUCUGAAUGGCGUUAAGUGUUUGAAAUUCUGGAUAUAUGACCAAAUCCUUAAGUCUGACCGGAGAAAUUGGAAAGUUGGAAGUAAAUAUGUUUGUCAGGCUUACUUAUAAAAAAUCUGUUAGUCAAAGCAUCUGCAGUUUCUCCACCAAGGAAAGAAAAAAAAGGGAGGUCUUGCACACAUGGGUUUGAUUAAACAUGAGUUCUAUAUUAUUUUUUGGUACUCCUGGGACUAUGUAUGUGUAACGCCUCGGAAAACGGGUCCCGGAGCGUCACACGGUGCUUGAGGCUACGAGUAGCCCCAAGCUAACCCUUUGAGCCAUUUUCA